rnacentral:tRNA from 1 species
GCGAUCGUAGCUCAAUUGGUAGAGCACUUGACUUUUAAUCAAGGGGUAGCGGGAUCGUAACCCACCGGUCGCACCA